rnacentral:rRNA from 1 species
AAGCGGCAACAGCUCAAAUUUGAAAUCUGGCCUCUUUGGGGUCCGAGUUGUAAUUUGUAGAGGAUGUUUCGGGUACCGCCUCGGUUUAAAUUUCUUGGAACAGAAUGUCAAAGAGGGUGAGAAUCCCGUCUUGGACCGGCGGUAGGGCCCAUGUGAAACUCCUUCGACGAGUCGAGUUGUUUGGGAAUGCAGCUCAAAAUGGGUGGUAAAUUUCAUCUAAAGCUAAAUAUUGGCCAGAGACCGAUAGCGCACAAGUAGAGUGAUCGAAAGAUGAAAAGCACUUUGAAAAGAGAGUUAAACAGUAUGUGAAAUUGUUGAAAGGGAAGCGCUUACAACCAGACUUGCGCGCGGCGGUUCCCCCUUCCUUUUGGUUGGGCUACUCCGUCGUGUCCAGGCCAACAUCGGUUCUGGGGGUCGGUUAAAGACCCUGGGAAUGUACCUACCCUUCGGGCGUAGACUUAUAGCCCAGGGUGUCAUGCGACCUCCCGGGACCGAGGAACGCGCUUCGGCUCGGAUGUUGGCGUAAUGGUUGUCAGCGACCCGUCUUGAAACACGGACCAAGGAGUCUAACAUCUAUGCGAGUGUUUGGGUGUCAAACCCGGAACGCGAAAUGAAAGUGAACGGAGGUGGGAAGCCGUGAGGCUGCACCAUCGACCGAUCCUGAUGUCUUCGGAUGGAUUUGAGUAAGAGCAUAGCUGUUGGGACCCGAAAGAUGGUGAAC